rnacentral:tRNA from 1 species
GCCUCCGUCGCCCAACUGGAUAGGGCAAAGGGCUUCUAUCCCUUCUGGUGCAGGUUCGAGUCCUGCCGGGGGCG